AUUGAACGCUGGCGGCAUGCCUUACACAUGCAAGUCGAACGGUAACAGGUCUUCGGAUGCUGACGAGUGGCGAACGGGUGAGUAAUACAUCGGAACGUGCCCGAUCGUGGGGGAUAACGGAGCGAAAGCUUUGCUAAUACCGCAUACGAUCUACGGAUGAAAGCAGGGGACCGCAAGGCCUUGCGCGGACGGAGCGGCCGAUGGCAGAUUAGGUAGUUGGUGGGAUAAAAGCUUACCAAGCCGACGAUCUGUAGCUGGUCUGAGAGGACGACCAGCCACACUGGGACUGAGACACGGCCCAGACUCCUACGGGAGGCAGCAGUGGGGAAUUUUGGACAAUGGGCGAAAGCCUGAUCCAGCCAUGUCACGUGCAGGAUGAAGGCCUUCGGGUUGUAAACUGCUUUUGUACGGAACGAAAAGACUCUUUCUAAUAAAGAGGGUCCAUGACGGUACCGUAAGAAUAAGCACCGGCUAACUACGUG
rnacentral:rRNA from 1 species